GGAUGCCACCCCGUAAGGGGGAGCCAAUCCCCUAAACCCGCGCUUAGUUCGGAUCGAGGGCUGAAACUCGCCCUCGUGAAGGUGGAAUCCCUAGUAAUCGCGGGCCACUAUCCCGCGGUGAAUACGUCCCUGCUCCUUGCACACACCGCCCGUCAAGCCACGGGAGUCCGCUCCGCAAUAGGCGCUUCCAAGUUGGGGGCGUCGUUUGCGGGGUGGAUGACUGGGGCUAAGUCGUAACAAGGUAGCCGUAGGGGAACCUGCGGCUCGAUCACCUCCUA
rnacentral:rRNA from 1 species